rnacentral:rRNA from 1 species
CAGUCGCCACGGUAAUACGGAGGAUCCAAGCGUUAUCCGGAAUCAUUGGGUUUAAAGGGUCCGUAGGCGGUCUUGUAAGUCAGUGGUGAAAGCCCAUCGCUCAACGGUGGAACGGCCAUUGAUACUGCAGGACUUGAAUUAUUGGGAAGUAACUAGAAUAUGUAGUGUAGCGGUGAAAUGCUUAGAGAUUACAUGGAAUACCAAUUGCGAAGGCAGGUUACUACCAAUUGAUUGACGCUGAUGGACGAAAGCGUGGGUAGCGAACAGGAUUAGAUACCCGGGUAGUCCCUGUCUCUUAUAC